rnacentral:rRNA from 1 species
UUUUAUGAGAGUUUGAUCCUGGCUCAGGACGAACGCUGGCGGCGUGCCUAAUACAUGCAAGUCGUACGCUUCUUUUUCCACCGGAGCUUGCUCCACCGGAAAAAGAGGAGUGGCGAACGGGUGAGUAACACGUGGGUAACCUGCCCAUCAGAAGGGGAUAACACUUGGAAACAGGUGCUAAUACCGUAUAA